rnacentral:rRNA from 1 species
AUUGAACGCUUGCGGCAUGCCUUACACAUGCAAGUCGAACGGUAACAGGUCUUCGGAUGCUGACGAGUGGCGAACGGGUGAGUAAUACAUCGGAACGUGCCUAGUAGUGGGGGAUAACUACUCGAAAGAGUGGCUAAUACCGCAUGAGAUCUACGGAUGAAAGCAGGGGAUCGCAAGACCUUGUGCUACUAGAGCGGCCGAUGGCAGAUUAGGUAGUUGGUGGGAUAAAAGCUUACCAAGCCGACGAUCUGUAGCUGGUCUGAGAGGACGAUCAGCCACACUGGGACUGAGACACGGCCCAGACUACUACGGGAGGCAGCAGUGGGGAAUUUUGGACAAUGGGCGCAAGCCUGAUCCAGCAAUGCCGCGUGCAGGAUGAAGGCCUUCGGGUUGUAAACUGCUUUUGUACGGAACGAAAAGACCUGGGUUAAUACCCUGGGGUCAUGACGGUACCGUAAGAAUAAGCACCGGCUAACUACGUGCCAGCCGCCGCCGUAA